UUUCAAAAUAGAUAAAUCUAUGAAUUUAUUGAUGGUUAUUAUAUACACAAGUGAUAUGACACAUUGGCCUCUUUCCCCAGCACUUCAAAGACCAAAAAGCGAGUAGAGCAAAAAGUGAAAACAAAAAUCUGUUCAGAUAUUUUUUUUUUCACAUAAAAGGAAAUUGAAAACAAAUUAGACAAACUCUCGAACAUUCUUACUGCCAACCAUUGAGACUUGGCUUGUGUUCUCUCAUUCAGACACACUUUUCAUAAAUGCUUAUCAAUAAUUUACACAUUAAAAAAAUAUAUGAAAGAUCCCCAAGUUUCUAAAACCUAAAGCCUUACAAAUAUACAAUCAUUAACACUAGCCUAAUUAGAUACAAGAGUAUUUGAAAUCAACAGUUAAAAUGGAACAAUUAAAUCUGGACAAAAGAAAGUAGCCCUCAGGGAUUUAACUUUCUCUGAUGGAAAGAAAACCAAACAUACAAAAAAUAACUUCCAUUAUUUAACCAUGCUAUUUAAAAAAAAGUGUUAAAGUGACAGCUCUACUGUCUUGUGAUACCAAUUCUUUGUGGGAACAAAAACUUAGGCUGAGAAUAAAUAGGUUGUUUGUUAAUUUUUCAAAACAUAAAAUGAAAUACAGAAUAAUAAAAGAAUACAGUAUAAAUCAAAUAGACAUGUUAUUUAAAUUGGCAUGACUUGUGUUAAUUCUAGUCACUUUUGAAGAUUUUAGCAUCUCUAGCAACCAGUUUUUUGCUUCAUGUAGACACAAGCUUCUGACAAUCCUUCAUAAUUAAUCCUUACUAGCCCCUGCACAAAAACGUAAGUUUCCAAUGUGAUGUCUGAAGUGCAAACACUAAGUAAUUUGUUCAAAUGAAAAGGAGCUCCGUAAAUGUCUUAGUUGGUAACUUCAUUUAUACAUUGGAAGGAACGAAAAAUAAACACUUGAUUAGUCCUACUGUAGCUAUGACUGUGGCUAGAGAUAAUGGACACAUAAAAUCAAGGUUAAGUCAAUUCAGUUCAGACAGGCUGCCAACUGAAUUUCUCUACAUAACUUCAAGUUUUUAUGCACAUCACUUUAAGUGCUUUUACACAAAACUUUAAUAUACACUUGAUUUUUUUUAUUAAAAUAAAUAGUUUACACAAUUUUUAAAAUAUUUAUACAUUGGACAAUUUUCUCUAAAUAUCAAGAUCUCCACAAGACUUGAACUAUAAAAAAAAAAUGAACUUAUAUUUCUUGUUUAUUUGAUAUACCUGUACUCUAAAAAAUAGAAAAUGGUAACUAUAUUACUUGGGGGGUGGGGGG